GAGGGAGGAGAGCAGAGAGCGGGAGGAGAGCGGAUAGCGGGAGGAGAGCCAAGAGCAGAGAGAGGUAGGAGAGCAGAAAUCGGGAGGGGAGUGGAGAGAGGGAGGAGAGUGUAGAGCGGGAGGAGAGUGGAGAGAGGGAGGAGAGCGGAGAGAAAAGGAAUGAGGCGGUCGGCUGAUUCACCACCACCCCAUCCAUCCAUCCCUCCUUUCUCUUUAUUGUCUUCUGCUUCAGUGAUGGGGUGGUGGAGGUGUUUGGGAAAGGACCCCCCCCUCCACACACACACACAGACUGCUGAUCUUCAUCCCUUCCACCUGCCUCCAUCCCUCCUCUUUCUCCCAUUGUCAUCACUACCUCCACCUGUAUCUUAUUCCCUCUCACUCCAUCCCUCCAUCCAUCCAUCCUUAUUUUUUUCUCUCCAGCCCCCACGCCCUUCUAACCCACACACUCUGUGUCACCACCGUGGUGAAGAAAAUGAUCAGCCAACAAGCUGGAAGAGGUAGAGGAGAGGAAAAACAGUGGAGAAAGAGAGGAAGAGUGAGCUCUGUCCAUUCAAGACACUCCAGACGUUCCAAUUUCCUGGAUGGAAUAUCCAGAGCCCCACGGACGGAGGGAGGAGUGGAGGAGAAAAGAAAAAGACCAAUAGAGAAGAGAGAAGAAAGGAAUUGCACUCCGGACAGCCAGUCCGCGUGACGGCCCUGCAGGCUGUGUUUGGGACUCUGGCUAAUUGUGGAGUAUUCUCAGGACUCCAGCAGAGGAACGAGAGAGACCCGCUCUAUCUUUCUUUUCAUUCUAAUUAAUUCCCCUCUGUGCAGACACUCAAAGAGAUUUUCUCUCCUUCCUUCGCUCUCUCCCUCCUUCUCUCCAUCCGGCGACUUGAGAGCAGAAUAAUUGGGAGUGGAGAUUGGCUUUUCUGUGCCUCUGCCAGAGGAGUGAGAUCUCCCAAUCCUUCACACACCUGGUUGUGUGCGAGUGUGUGCGUGGAUGAGUGUGUGUGGAAUCUCUGACUUAUCUCUAGGGGCUUUGGGAGGGGGUGUACCACACUAGUGUGAACUGGACGUGCAUGACAGAAAAAUGAGAAAAGGAAAGAGGGAGUGAAAGAAAAAGGUAGUACAGUAGAGCACUAAUCCGGUAGAAGUAUUUCCCUGAGGAGGGGUGUGAGGGGAGAAAAGAAGGAAAGUACUGCUUUCACUUGAAGCCCAACCAGUGAUGUGGAUGGACAGAGUGAGCAAAUAAAUGACAAGACAGAGAAGAGGAGAGAAGAGACGAGGAGAAAAGACAUCGGCCUUUUCACAACAUCAGCAAGUCACCCAGACUGAGAAGAAUGCACCAGACAGAACCGGAGUGUUUUAGUGUGAGUGUGUGUACGGCGUAACCAACCCAUUCUGCAGUGGAGCCGCGGAGCACAGGGGGAGCCUGAGUUAUUACAUGUCUUAGUCAGACCAUGCCCCAGUUCACCUUCGCCUGUUUUUGCAGUCUGCACGGCUUCUGCCGGAGACGGAGGAAGAAGAAACGGCAGAAAAGGGAGGAACAGGAUGAGAUGCAGGAGAAAUGGAGGGAUCAGGAGACUGAGGUGUGAAGGAAGCCUGGAGGGACUUCACCCUCCUCUUCAUUCCCUCAGAGACUCUGGUGUGGUCACGAUUGUGACGGCAUUCUAAUUUCUACAUCCAGAUCCUUUUCUAGUCUUCACGCUGCGGUGCGUCUCUCCUCCACCUGCAGCAGCUGUCCAAUCAGCAGCUUCACUGGAGUGUAUAGGUAGAGGUCAGAACUCAAAACUAACGUUCUUUACAAUCUCCUACACCACGGAGACACAACACACACACACACACACACACACACACACACACACACACACACACACACACACACAAAUUAAAGUCCUGUGUAGUUCUAUAAAUGCCAGUGGGGUGUAGGGACACCUAUCACCUGGUUAUGAUGAAAGUAGUGAAUGUGAUUGUGUGUGCACUGAGACUUCAUUGCAGCUGGACCACAGAGAGUUGCAGGACUGCACCUACCAGUUAAGAUAUGCUGCAGAAUGAAUGCCCUUUACACGCACACGCGCACACGCACGCAAGCACACAUGCACGCAAACACACACACACGCAGGUCUCAUUAGCCUGUGUAAUUAUGCAUGGCACGUCCAGUUGGCCAGUGGAGAAGUAAUUAACCUUUUCCAGCAGGAAACAGCAAUCUGGACGUCUGACACACUCACAUGCACGCACACACGUCUGGUGUCACGGAAAUAAAGUGUCAAAGACAGCGGCUGGCAUUCAAUGAUAAUCCCCUCACGCAUAUUUCCAUCCAAGGCUUAAAACACUAAUAAUGCCAAAUUACCUCUCCUCUCCCUUUAUCUUCCCUCCUUUCUCUUUCUCCCUCUUCUUGUCCCCAAGUCCUUCUCUGUCUUUCUCUCUGUUUAACUCUCCCUGUCUGUCUGUGUCUGGCUACAAAACCUCUUUCUCUCUCCUGUCUGUCUGUCUGUCUGUCUGUCUGUCUGUCUGUCUGUCUGUCUGUCUGUCUGUCUGUCUGUCUGUCUGUCUGUCUGUCUGUCUGUCUGUCUGUCUGUCUGUCUGUCUGUCUGUCUGUCUGUCUGUCUGUCUGUCUGUCUGUCUGUCUGUCUGUCUGUCUGUCUGUCUGUCUGUCUGUCUGUCUGUCUGUCUGUCUGUCUGUGGCUACGAAACCUCUUUUCUCCACCACUCUCCCUGUCUCCCUCUCCUUUCUCCCCUCUCUCAAUCAAUUUGCCCACAUCCCUCUCUCUCCUGCUCUUUAUCUCUCAGUAAAACACAUGUUCUCUGGGCAGUGAGCAUGGCCUUGCCUGGCUGGCAGCACCCAUAGAUUAACACCAGCACUCUGACUCUCACUCAGGGAGCCCUCUCACCAAGACCACAAAAGCUGCUUUACAGUUGAAGGAGUAGGAUGCCUGUGUGUGUGUGUGUGUGUGUGUGUGUGUGUGUGUGUGUGUGUGUGUGUGUGUGUGUGUGUGUGUGUUUAUAAGAACAGAUUAAGCGAUAGGGUUGAUUGUGUAUUUACCCAUUCUACCAUUGAGCAAAAGUGAAAUGGGAUAACACUAAGCCAUUUCACAGAGAUGAGCAGAUAUGAGUCACCAUGUUACAGAAAGGCUUUUCAACGAGAAAGAGAGGGAGAGAGAAAAAGAGGGGGAGAGGGGGAGAGAGAGAACAGUUAAUGAGAGAGGGAUGGAAAUGGAAGAGGGAGCUAAUACUCGGCAGUCAUGCUAAUUGGCUACAUUUGCUAACUCUCUGAGGCGAGAGGAUUCCGGCAUUACACUCGUUUAAUGCUCCCUCCAUCACGUUAAAGAAAGGAUUCGCUUGAAUAAUGAAGAGGAGCUGAAAUGAAUAACAGUUUGUUAUUAUCUGUGGGAGGGUUGUUUUUCACCUGAGUGACUAUGUGUAGUCUUCUAUGGAUCAUAUCCAUGCUCACCGAGCCUUACUCAAGGACAAACAGCUAAAAAUAGAGGGGAGUACGCGACUACUAUAAUAGCAGGAGCGAAGGAAGGAAGGGAGAGGGAGAGAGAACGAGUGCUGUCAGAUUAGAUUCGGGUCAGAAAAGAUGGGAAGAGCAAGUGAGGCAGAGGGUGUUUCAUACGGAGGAGAUUAAUCACACUCUCUCCCUCUCUUUCUUCCUUUGUCUCUCUCUCUCGCAUUCUCUUUGUCCCUCUCUCUCGCUCUCUCUCUACUCAAUACCUCACUAUCGCACACCUGCAAGAUGGGGAGGGAAGUGGGGAGGAAGAGAGACAAAUAAACUGAAAUAUAGCGGGGUAAGGAGAAAGAAGAAACCCUCCAUUUCACUCCUCAUCACCUUCUCCUCUCUCCUCGUCUCCUCAUUGCCCUCUCAUCUCUUCCCUAAUGCAGAUUAAAGUGAGCCAUGUACUCUAAUGCUCUAAUUGGGCCUAGGAGAUGGGAACCAAUAGAGAUUGAUAGAGGUGGAUAGAGAUAGUGAUAAAAGAGGAGGGGUGAGAAAGAGAGAGGGAGAGACAGGGGUUGAGGGUUAAGACAAGUGAGAAGCUUUAGUGAUUGAGAGACAGAGAGGGUGAGCAAUACAUUGAGAGAGAGAGAGAGAGAGAGCUUGUGUAAUUGUGAUGGUAAUAGGUUUUGUCAGGAGCACCUGUCAGGGUCGAGCUGGAGCCGCUCCGGAGCGACGAGGAGAUGGAGGAGAGGAAAGGAACAGGGUAUUGGAGUCAGGAUCACUCUGAGGAAAGUCCAAUCCAUGAUAGCGUUACCUGAUUGCCAAUUUGUGUCUGUCUUCAGACAUCACACACACACACAUGCACUGUAGUGGAAUGAUGGAGUUGAUUGGACAGGCUCUUGGUGCCUAACGAGGGGUCCAGGGCAAUCACAGACCAGUUGCUUUGUGACUGGAGGAGAAUGAAGGCCGCUACAGCUUGUAUUCUCAUAAUUUCUCGAUGAAAAGGGAGCGCUACACUGAUUGUCUUCCCCCCUACUGUGCAUGCAGUUGAGUUGUGUUUGAAUCGGGCGUGCUGUUCAGAAAUGUUUACUGGAACAGAGAACUUUGAUCAAACUUCUGUGAUUGAGGCUGGAAUCCUAGGGACUCAUCUUUUUCUCUGUCUUUCUUCCUCUCUCACUCUUUUUCUCUUCACUCAAUCUCUUGUUUGUCCUGCAUCUCUUUUUCUCUCCUUGCACGCACACACGCACACAUCGAUUGGAGAGUCGAUAUUGAGCAGUGGCUCUCGUCUAAAUUAAUAUUUGAUUUCUCUGGGGGUUUCAGACUGGAACCCACGGCAUUGAGUUACAGUCUAAACGUUACAGUCUGAGGGAUUGCUCUAAACGUUGUUUGAUUAAGUUUGUGUGUGUGUACGUGUGUGUGUAUGCGUGCCUGCCUGCAAUACAACCCCCUACACACACAUGCAUGCACACACUCACACACACACACACACACACACACACACACACACACACACAUCACUUGUCUAGAAUGCAUCACUCACUGCUAAGCCUCUGCCAUUAAAGCUGUUCAUUUAUCCGACACACAUGGUGACUUAUGUUUGAUUGAUGUGAGCACUAGGCCCAGAACUGUCUCUCAAACACUAGGCCCAGAACUGUCUCUCAAACACUAGGCCCAGAACUGUCUCUCAAACACUAGGCCCAGAACUGUCUCUCAAACACUAGGCCCAGAACUGUCUCUCAAACACUAGGCCCAGAACUGUCUCUCAAACACUAGGACCAGAACUGUGUCUCUCAAACACUAGGCCCAGAACUGUGUCUCUCAAACACUAGGCCCAGAACUGUGUCUCUCAAAUACUAGGCCCAGAAGUGUGUCUCUCAAACACUAGACCCAGAACUGUGUCUCUCAAACACUAGGCCCAGAACUGUGUCUCUCAAACAGAGUCCCCAGUUCUCUGCAGCGAUAUGGUGAAACCAAAUGCUUGCCUUGUGUACUGUAGCAUCAUUCUUGCUUCAAAAUCCAAUAGUGCUAUUUGUGUACAGUAUAUGGGUGUAUUCUAGGGUUUAGGGUGGGAAGAAAAUCCUUAGUACUGCAGUCAUCCAUUGUAAUGUAAGGAUGAGAGACCCUGGUAUUGUGCUAUAACUCCAAACACAAACACAAGGUAUGUUUCUCUCUGUCAGUGUGUUUGUUUACUUUGUUCUGUUGUUUGUGAGAUCUGAUUGGUAUCAGCGCAGCAGUGUGUGUGUGUGUGUGUGAGAGAGAGUGUGAGAGAGUGUGUGUGUGUGUGAGAUUGAGAGUGAGAGUGAGAGAGAGAGAGAGAGAGAGAGAGAGAGAGAGAGAGAGAGAGAGAGCACGCUGGGGUAAUCUGCUUCUGCAAGAGUUUGUUACAUUAUUCAUCUUCCUGGGGCUCUGCGGCAGGGAGGGAGCAGCGGAGAGGGGUGGAGGAAUAGAGGAAGAGAGAGAAAUGGGGAGAGAGAAACAGAGAGGGUAAAGGACUCAGAUAGAGCAGCCAAACAUCUACGCACUGAGAGAUACAGUAUCAGAUACAUUACUCCCAGAUUGAAGCGGGUUAUUCAUGAACUUUACAGCCACAGUAAAACAGUCUUCUAAAACCCAACUUAAAAAAUACCGAAGUGACCUUCAUGGGAGGGAUCUCAGAUAUUUGUGACUCCAGAGUAUGUUGUUCAGAGCAGACAUCUGUUCUAAACAGACAGGUACUAGUUAACCUGAGCCUUGUAUUAAAUGUCCACCCCAAGGCCUGGGGCGAGGUAAAGAGAAGAGACAGUGUGAGGAAAGGGCUGGGUAUCGAUCCUUAGAGACAGACUUUGGCCUUCGGAUCAGACAAUAUUGACAGGCUAUCACCCACACACCCAGCGAAGUCUGACACUGUCGGACACCCAUCAUUAACACACACACGUGCAUGCAUACCCAUACGCCGGAGGGAGGCUUGAGUGUGUGUGAGGCGGAGGGCUGUGUGCUUGGGAUGCGGAGCACGUCCGAGGUCUGUGAAGUUCUCCUUGCAGCAAAGCCUCAUUAAAGAGGCUCGCCUUAACACAGCUAUCUACAGCCAGACCAGACCUGACCACACACACAGAGAGGGAAGGAGAUAGAGAGAGAGCGAGAGAGAGUGAAAGAGACACUGAGGAACACAAGCACGCACACAAACACCUGAAAUACUAUAUAAAUCUUUCUCAGGACACUGGUUUUACACAGUGUUUGAGUGGGAGCGAAUGGGUUUGUUAGAAGAAGAAGAAUGUUCGCUGCCAUGGUGAUUUAAUCAGACACACAAAAAAAGACCUGACGAAGAUCCAACUCGGCUCGAAACCCUGUUCUUUUUUUGCGUCAGAUUAAAUUACCCUGGGAGCACACCAAAGUUGCAGACAUUCUUUUUUCUUUGAUCUGUCCUGCACCUGAUAAGUUGUAUGUGCAUAUUUGUCUAUUUUUUAUUUUAUUAUAUUUUUACAAUGGGAUUGUUCUCAUCAGGGAGGGUGGGAUUUGACCCCUCCCUCUACAUCCACAGUGUUUAAACUAUGUUCUCCCAAAACAAUUCCCCUCCUACAGUAAUAUGAUAUUCAUGUAUAUUUGAUUGUGUCACCUCUGUGGAGAUUGCCUAUGGUGUGUCUGUGUGCCUUUUAAAUCUGUGUUUAUGAAUAAGUAAUAGAUUGCUAUGCACUCUGAUUAUUAAAGAAGCCAUAUUGCCAGGAAGCCAUGAUGAAAUUAUAUUGUAAUUCCUGCAUCUCCGAUGAAUACAUUUAUAUUUUUCUUUCUUGCAAUUUCUUUCCUGUUUCUGUUCCGGUAAAUGAGCGCUAAAGCUCUCUUGUUUUGCGCUGAGACUCCCUGACGUUUACAUUUGUAUGGUUUUCACAACUGCGCUGAGAUUUUUUUAAUAAAACUGUCCUGUUUCUAAAUA
rnacentral:lncRNA from 1 species